rnacentral:rRNA from 1 species
UACGAAGGGGGCUAGCGUUAUCCGGAAUCAUUGGGCGUAAAGGGUGCGUAGGCGGCGCGGUAAGUCGGGUGUGAAAUCUCGGAGCUUAACUCCGAAACUGCAUUCGAUACUGCCGUGCUUGAGGACUGGAGAGGAGACUGGGAUUUACGGUGUAGCGGUGAAAUGCGUAGAUAUCGUAAGGAAGACCAGUGGCGAAGGCGGGUCUCUGGACAGUUCCUGACGCUGAGGCACGAAGGUCAGGGGAGCAAACGGG